UAAUUUUUGUAAAAUUAAGUAUUUAAAAAAUUUUUUUAUUUCUAGGGUAAAAUCAGGAAAUUUAAUAAUCUUUUACUUAAUUUAUAAUAUUUGGCAAACAAACCAGAUUAGUACCUGGUUAGACAAAAUUUAAAAGAGCAGGAGUAAAGUUAUAUUUAAACUGUAAGGAUAUUGGCAGGCUUUUUAAAUUAUCUUUGGAGGUUGAGUAGUAAUUGAGAACCCUCAUUUUCAUCUUUUAUUUUAGGCGCAUGUAUGAUCGUUUAUUUUAUUCUUAAGGAUUGUAAUCAUAAAUUUUUAUUUAUAAAAAUAGAUAAAUACCUGGUUUAUAUAGAAGUUUAAAUUUGACCUACAAUAAUAAACAUUUUUGGAUUCUCACUUGAGAAAGUGAGAUGAAAUUGUAAAAGACAGUAAAUUAUUUUUUAUAUAUAAUUGAAGUUUAUCUAAUAGCGGUACAAAUCAUC
rnacentral:rRNA from 1 species